UUGAUGAUGAGGUUCUUGGUUCAUUUGGAUGCAUAACAUCUCUGCUUGAGCUAUGGCUAGUUGCAUCUGCAAUUGAGAAACCUGCUUCUCACCGAAGACCUUGUGAACAAUGGCAAACUUGUGGGGUUCAUCGGAUGGGAAGUAGGGUGCGAAAAUGCAAUCUUUGGCACACCGUCUUCGUAGUAGCUUGCAUGACGCGCAUGGAGAAUGUCCUGGUGCCAUUUUAUAUAUGUGUCUGUGUGAGAAAGUGAGAGAGAAUGUCAAAGGAGUAGCAGCAAGAGGUUUAAUAUUGAGGGCUAUCUGUGAAGAAUGGAAGUGUACUACUCUUUGUGUUUAUUUAUAUUGGGAGUAAGUAGUAACUGUAUGCUAUAACUUACAUCAACGCGUAGUUUUAUUAAUUAUUUGUUUUAUAUCAGAACUUUCACGUAUACUCAAAUAAAUAAAGACAAUAAAACAUAUCCCGCUAAUACAGCUA